CCGAGCUGUGGAGUGUGACAAUGGUGUUUGUGUCUUAAGGCUAUCAAACGCCAUUAUCACACUAAAUAGCUACUG
rnacentral:pre_miRNA from 1 species